rnacentral:rRNA from 1 species
UUCGUAGGUGAACCUGCGGAGGGAUCAUUACUGAGUUACCGCUCUAUAACCCUUUGUGAACAUACCUAACCGUUGCUUCGGCGGGUUAGGGGGUCCCCUCUCCGGGGGACGCCCUCCCGGCCGGGCCCCACUGCGGGGCUCGGCGCCCGCCGGAGGAUAACCAAACUCUGAUUUAACGACGUCUCUUCUGAGUGGCACAAGCAAAUAAUUAAAACUUUUAACAACGGAUCUCUUGGUUCUGGCAUCGAUGAAGAACGCAGCGAAAUGCGAUAAGUAAUGUGAAUUGCAGAAUUCAGUGAAUCAUCGAAUCUUUGAACGCACAUUGCGCCCGCCAGCAUUCUGGCGGGCAUGCCUGUUCGAGCGUCAUUUCAACCCUCAAGCUCCGCUUGGUGUUGGGGCCCUACGGCGUACGUCGUAGGCCCUUAAAGGUAGUGGCGGACCCUCCCGGAGCCUCCUUUGCGUAGUAACUAACGUCUCGCAUCGGGAUCCGGAGGGACUCUUGCCGUAAAACCCCCAACUUUUUAACUGGUUGACCUCGGAUCAGGUAGGAAUACCCGCUGAACUUAAGCAUAUCAAUAAGCGGAGGA